CCCAGACUCCUACGGGAGGCAGCAGUGGGGAAUAUUGCACAAUGGGGGAAACCCUGAUGCAGCGACGCCGCGUGAGUGAAGAAGUAUUUCGGUAUGUAAAGCUCUCUCAGCAGGGAAGAUAAUGACGGUACCUGAGUAAGAAGCCCCGGCUAACUACGUGCCAGCAGCCGCGGUAAUACGUAGGGGGCAAGCGUUAUCCGGAUUUACUGGGUGUAAAGGGAGCGUAGACGGCAUGGCAAGUCUGAAGUGAAAGCCCGGGGCUCAACCGCGGGACUGCUUUGGAAACUGUUAAGCUGGAGUGCAGGAGAGGUAAGUGGAAUUCCUAGUGUAGCGGUGAAAUGCGUAGAUAUUAGGAGGAACACCAGUGGCGAAGGCGGCUUACUGGACUGUAACUGACGUUGAGGCUCGAAAGCGUGGGGAGCAAACAGGAUUAGAUACCCGGGUA
rnacentral:rRNA from 1 species